rnacentral:tRNA from 5 species
UCCCGGAUGAUGUAAUCGGCAGCAUGUGGGGUUUUGGUCCCCAUCGUCCAGGUUCGAGCCCUGGUCCGGGAG